UUAAAUGUGAAAACCCCUAAUUGUGGGAGAAAUCCCCAAUUUGAAACCCUAAUUUUUAAAGAAAACCCUAAUUUCGAAAUUGGAAACCCUAAUUUCGAAAGUUCACUAAUUGAAUGACUCAAAAACUCAAUUAAAAUGUAAAUACGCAAUUUUUGGAAGUUAAUGUAUAGAAAUAAAUUGAAAUGCAAUCAUUAGGAUCUCGAAUCCCCAAUUUACUAUUAAAAACCCUAAUUUCACAAAUUCAACGAAUCGAUGGAAAAAUGCCAAUUCAAUGUUCCUAAACCUAUCCAAUAUACUCUCUCGAUAUAUACUGAAUCUACUCUUGCACACCACCAGCCUAUAUUUCUAUGGAUGAUGCAAUUAUACAAGAAUGCAUGAAUUUUUAUGAACACCUUAUGAAUUGCAUAAAGCAUAGGGGUAUAUUUCUAUCCCCUAUCGAACCCUAUGUUAAUUUUUAUUAUAUCGAAUCCAUUCCCCUUCUUUCGAAUGCAAAGAAUAAAUCAUCUAAACUCACAUAACAUAUGGCCAAUAAUUAUGGAAGCAAUCAAAUCAUAUAAAUCAAACAAUUGUCCAACCGAAACUUUAUAUUGAAUUUAUGAAAUAAAGGAGAUUAAAUAAUCAAAGGUUCAUCGAUUUCCUAAUGAAUAAAAACCCUAGCCUAUGAUCAUAAUUACAGAAUCAAGAAUUAAAACUAAAUUAAAAGAUAUAAAGAAUACACCCGUAUGAUAAUCCUUCAAUUUUGUGUGUAAUCUUCAAUUCCUUCUUGAAUCCUUGUGAAAUCAAGCCCAAGAUUGUGUUUCUUGCUUUCAAAUUGAGUGUAUUUCUU
rnacentral:lncRNA from 1 species